rnacentral:rRNA from 1 species
CCGUGGGAGACUACCACGUGAUAGGUCAGAGGUGUAAGUGCAGUAAUGUAUUAAGCUGACUGAUACUAAUAGGUCGAACACUUGACCAG